rnacentral:rRNA from 1 species
GACGAACGCUGGCGGCGUGCUUAACACAUGCAAGUCGAACGGAAAGGCCCUGCUUUUGUGGUGUGCUCGAGUGGCGAACGGGUGAGUAACACGUGAGUAACCUGCCCUUGACUUUGGUAUAACUUCAGGAAACUGGGGCUAAUACCGGAUAGGAGCUCCUGCUGCAUGGGGGGGGUUGGAAAGUUUCGGCGGGUGGGGAUGGACUCGCUGCUUGUCAGCUUGUUGGUGGGGUAGUGGCUUACCAAGGCUUUGACGGGUAGCCGGCCUGAGAGGGUGACCGGCCACAUUGGGACUGAGUUCCGGCCCAGCUUCCUCCGGGAGGAACAAGUGGGGAUUAUUGCCAAAUGGGCGGAGGCCGGAUGAAGCAACGCCGCGUGCGGAAUGACGGCCUUGGGGUUGUAACCCGCUUCCGCCUGUAACGAAGCGUGAGUGACGGUAAUGGGUAUAGAAGCCCCGGUUAACUACGUG